AACGAUUCGUUUGCGUGAUCGCAUAAUUAAAAAUAACAUCACGACAUAAUAAAAGCCUCUCGCAUGAUCGCUUCCACGGUUCCACCUCUCUUUUCUCGACAUUGCGUGGAUGUUAAUCGUUUUCUUAUGGUGCUUCGUUCUUGGUGUACUCCUCAUCUUUUUCUUUCUCUAAUCCAAAAUACAUAUGUGUUUCAAUAGGGUUUUAAACACAGUAUGCGUUGAAGUUCUUUCCAUUGUAGGUUCUUAAGGGUUCUUCGUUAAACACUUGAAGUUUCUGAUAUUAGUCGUUUUUCCGGUUCCAAGAAACAUUGGCACUUCCAGAACAAACAAAUCUCUAGAAAUUGUCGACAUUGGAAGAAGUCGAUGACGUUUUUUUUUUCUUUAGGUAAUUUUAUCCUUUCUCUAAACUCACAUCGACUUGAAUUUCUUUAGGGUUUAAUUGGUCUAAAACACAUUAUUCUUUCGAUUGUAUUAGUUCUUACUUUUAGGGUCUAAUAACUUUAACGAUCAUCUUUAGAUAAAUGUUAACCCAGUUUUUGAUUGAACUUUGUGUUGCCGGCAUUCAACAACAGCAAAGUUAGUGAUCUUGAAAACUUAAUUCUUUUAGGGUUUAGUUAUUUUCUUUAAUUUUGUAUAGCAGCGACCAAUUAUUUUGAAGAUGAAAUUGAAGGCAUUUGGCACUUAAGUUGAGAGAGACGUGAGCAUUCUUUUUGGAAUUCAGAGCACGAGUUUUUCUUUAUACAACGCCUUUCACGAUUUAUAUUUAGUGCGGGUAUGUUCUGCUGUUGCUAAUCUUUUUCAAUUUGAAUAUUUAAAUAUAGUGAUUCUAAACAUCUGUUCUUAUUUCUUGUCACUUAUACUGGAGAUAUUGAAUCUCGUUAUACACUGAGAAAUUGCAAAAUACUUUCAGAACUUAAUCCAGGUAUGUUCUACUAAACACCUAUAUACCAUUUUAAACCAAAUGCAAGAAAUACCAAAAUACUUUUGUUUUUUUUUUUUUUUUUAAAUUUUUAUUAUUGCAUUUACUUUAAAAAAUCUUAUCAUGUUUUUCUUAUUAAGGCAUUUUACACAUACUUCUCUUUAAAUUUCAAAUUUUCAGUUAUAUUUGUGUUACUACAUUGUAAGUAUCAAGUUUUUUCUUAUCAAGGCAUUUUGAUUUGAAAAAUCUAUCAUUUUUUCUUUUCUUAUCAAGGCAUUUCCUUUGAAAAAUCAACCUAUUUAUAGAAUCAUACUUUUUAUUCUUCCUUCUGUUAUAAUUUCAUCUUAUCUAGGCUUUUUACUUUGAGAAGACUAUCAAUUUUUUAUGAUUAAUGCAUUUUAUUUUGAAUAUUCUACCAAUUGUAGCAUUGUACUUUCAUUUUUCUUAAUAUAAGCACAUUUCCCAAUAAAAAUCAAACCAAUUUUCAGUUUUAUUUGUGUAAAAACAUUUCAACUUUCAAGCUUUUUUUCAUUUCAAGGCAUUUUAUUUAGAAAAAUAUAUCAAUUUUUUCUUAUCAAGGCAUUUUACUUUGAAAACUCUAUCAUUUAUUUCUUAUUAAGACAUUUUAAUUAGAAAAAUCUACCAAGUAUAACAUCAUACUUUUAUUUUUCUUGUUAUACAUAUAGUUCUCUUUCAUUUUCAAGUUUUCAGUUUUAUUUGUGUUGCCACAUCGUAAAUUUCAAGUUUUUUUUUUAUUUUUUUAUUUUUUUAUUUUUUUAAUUUGAAAAAGCUAUCAUUUUUUCUUUUCUUAUUAAAGCCAUUUUACUUUGAAAAAUUAGCCCAUUUAUGGCAUCACACUUUUUAGUUUUCUUUCUGCCACAAGAUUAUAACUUUUCAAAUUGUCUCUUAUCAAGUCAAUUUACUUUUGAGAAUCUAUCAUAUUUUUCAUUGUCAAGGCAUUUUAUUUUGUAAAAUCUACCAUUUAUACCAUUACACUUUUUUAGUUUUCUUUCUGUUAUAACAUUAUAACUUUCAAAUUUUAUCUUAGCAAAGCCUUUUACUUUAAAAAUAUAUCAUUGUUUUCUUUAAUAAGGCAUUUUGUUUGGAAAUAUCAACCAAUUAUAGCAUUGUACUUUCAUAUUUUUUAUUAUAAGCAUAUUUCCCUUUAAAAAAUCAACAAAACACAACAUUGUAACUUUUAAGUUUUUCCUGAUCAAUGCAUUUUACUUUCAAAAGUCAAAUCAAUUUUUAGCAUCACACUUUAUAGUUUUUUUUAAUAAUAUUAUUAUUUUUUUUAUUUUUAUUUUUUCAUUUAAAACAUUGUAACUUUGAAAUUUUAUAUCUUAUCAAUGCAUUUUGCUUUUAAAAAUCUGUCAUUUCUUUAUUUUGCAGUGUAUUUCAUUUUGAAAAAAGUACCAACUAUAGUAUUGUACUAUCAUUUUUCUUAUUUUAUGCACGUUUCCUUUUAAAAAAUCAACUUAAUUACAUUAUUGAACUUUUCAGUUUUAUUUGUGUUGCAACAUUGAGUUUUUAAGUUUUUUCUUGUCAAGGCAUUUUACUUUGAAAAAUAUAUAAACUUUUUCUUAUCUAUGCAAUUUACUAUUAAAAACCUUUCAAUUUUUCUAAUCAAUGCAAUUUACUUUUGAAAAUUUAUCAGUUUUUUUCUUAUCAAGGCAUUUUAAAUAGAAAAAUCAACCAGUUAUAGCAUUGUACUUUCAUUUUUCUUAUUAUAAGUACAUUUCUCACUAAAAAAUCAACCCAAAUAUAGCAUUGCUUUUUUCAAUUUAUCUGUGUUGUAAAUUUUAAGUUUUUUCUUAUCAAGGCAUUUUAAUUAGAAAAACCUACCUAUUAUAGACUUGUACUUUAAUUUCUUAUAUUAUAAGUAAGUUUCCUGUUAAAAAAUAAUCCAAAUGUAGCUUUGCACUUUUUAGUUUUAUUAGUGUGACAAUUUUGUAACUUUCAAGUUAUUUUAUUUUUUAUUUUUAAAUUUAUUUAUUUAUUUUCUAUCUUUAUUUUUCAUUAUAAAGACAUUUUAUUUUGAAAAGUCUACCAUUUAUAGCAUCACAAUGUUUGGUUUUCUUUAUGUUUUAACAUUAUAACUUUCAAAUUUAACUUAUCAAAGCAUUUCACAUUAAAAAAUCUAAUCACAUUUUUUCUAUGGUAAGGCAUUUUGUUUUGAAAAUUUCACCAAUGAUAGCAUUAUACUUUCAUUUUUUUAUUUUAAGCACAUUUUCUUUUAAAAAAGCAACCCAAUUAUAGCAUAGCAGUUUCCCGUUUUAUCUUUUGUUACAACAUUGUAACUUUCGAGUUAUUUCUUAUCAAGGCAUUUUACUUUAAAAAAUGAACCCAUUUUUUGCUAAAACAUUAUAAUUUUCAAAAUUUAUCAUAUCAAGGCUUUUUGCUUUUAAAAAUCCAUCAUUUCUUUCAUUAUCAUGGCAUUUUAUUUUGAAAAAUCUACCAAUUAUAUCAUUUCAUCGUUCUUAUUAUAAGUACCUUUCUGUUUUUUUUAUUAUCAACACAUUUCCCUUUGAAAUAUCAACCCGAUUAUAGCAUUGGACUUUUUAGUUUUCUUUUUAUUACAACAUAUUUUUUUCUCAUCAAGUCAUUUUUCAUUGAAAAAUCUACCAGUUAUAGUAUUGUACUUUCAGUUAUUUUAUUAUCAACACGUUUUCCUUUGAAAAAUAAACUAAAUUAUAACAUUGCUCUUUUUUACUUUUCUUUCUGUUACAACAUUGUAACUUUAAAGUUUCUUUAUUUAAUGGCAUUUUACCUUCAAAAAUGUAUCAAAAUUUCUUUUCAAGGCUUUUUUACUUUAGAAAAAUUUACUCAGUUAAGCAUUGUACUUUUCAGUUUGCUUUCUAAUACAACAUUAUAACUUUCUAAAAUUUUCUUUUUAUGAGAUUUUACUUUGAAAAAUCUACCAUAUAUAGCAUUCUACUUUCAGAUUUCUUAUUAUAAGCACAUUUUAAAAUAAAAAUCAAUCCACUUACAGUUUUCCAGUUUAUGGAUUUCUUUUUAUAUAGCAUCAUAGCAUUUAAUUUUUUUUUUUUCUAUUCAAGGCAUUUUACUUUCAGUUUUAUAUCAGCUAAUUACCUUUUUGAAAAAUCAACCCAUUAAUAGCAUUGCACUUUUAGGUUUUCAUUAUGUACUUUCAGUAUUUUAUCAUAAGCACAUUUCUCUAAGAAAAAUCAGUUAUUAUAACUUUUCAAUUUUCAAGCUUUUUCUUAUCAAGGCAUUUUACUUUGAAAAAUCAUCCCAUUUAUAGUAUUGAAAUUUUUAGUUUUCUUACUAUUACAACAUUAUCACUUUCAAGGCCUUUUUUUUUUAAUCUUUUAAUUAUGGCUUCGUACUUACAUUUUUCUUAUUAUAACAUUUCCUUUUAUAAAAGCAACCCAAAUAUAACUUUGUAAACUUUGGUUUUAUUUGUGUUACAACGUUAUAACUUUCAAGUUUUCUUAUCAAGAAAAUUUAUUUUGAAAAAGGUGUCAGAUUCUUUUUAUUCAAAUACAACAUUUUCCUUUGAAAAUCAACCUAUUUAUAGCACUUUUAAAGUUUUUUUUUUUUGUUUACAACAUUCUUCCUUUCAAAGUUCAUCUUAUCAAGGCAUUUAACUUUUAAAAUCAUAUCAUAUUUUUCAUUAUCUGGGCAUUUUUGUUUUGAAAAAUCUAUCAAUCAUAGUAAUUAGCUUUUUUUUUGUUACAUCAUAACUUUCAAGCUUUCUCUUAUCAAGAAAUCUUACUUUAAAAAAAAUCAACCCAUUAUAACUUUCAAAUUGUAUGUUAUCAAGACAAUUUAGUUUUAAAAGUAUUUCAUAUUUUUCAAUAUCAAAGAAUUUUCAUUUGAAAAAUCUACCAAUUAUAGCAGCGUACUUUCAUUUGCCUUUAAAAAAAAACUAUUUAUAGCAUUACAAUUUUUAGUUUUCUUUCUGUUAUCUUAUUAUAAACAAAUUUCCCUUAGAAACUCGACACAAUUACAGCAUAAUUUUUUUCAGUUUUUUUUUUUUUUUUUUUUUGUGUGUGUGUGUGUGUGUAUGUGUGUGUGUGUUUUACAUCGUUAUCACUUUAAAAUUUAGCUUUAUCAAGUAAUUUUAAUUUGAAGUAUUUAUCAAAUCUUAUAUUUUCAGGGCAUUUUACUUUGAAAAAUCUAUUAACUUUUUUUUUCUUAUCAAGGCAUUUUUUAUGAAAAUCCGUCAAUUUUUUUCGUAUCUUUGGAUUUUAUUUUGAAAAAUCUAUCAGAUGUUUUUUAAUCAAAGAAUUUCAUUUUUAAAAAUCUACCAAUUAUAAUUGUAAUUUCAAUUAUCUUUUUAUAUUGCAUGUUUCCCCUUUAAAAGUCAACCCAAUUAUAGCAUUGAUCAUUUCAAAAAAAAAUCUAUUAUGCAUUGUACUUUCAAAAUCUUGUUAUCAAGGCAGUUAAAUCGAUCAAAAUCUUUCAAAUUUUCUUUAAAAAAUCUACCUGUUAUAGCAUUUUACUUUCAAUUUUCUUUUUAUAAAGCACAUUUCCUUUUGAAAACCCAACCCAAUUGCAGCAUUGCAAUUUUCAUUUUGAUCUUGAGUUAUACAGCAUUUUACUUUGUAAAAUCUACAAAUUAUUUGUUAUCAAGGCAUCUUACUUUGUAAAGUCUACAAAUUAUAGCAUUUAUUUUCAGUUUAAUUAUAAGCAGAUUUCCCUUCAAAAAAGCAACCCAAUUAUAGCAUUGCACUUUUCAGUUUUAUUUAAAACAUUUAUCUUUAGACAUUUUUUUUGUUGAAAAAUCAACCAAACUUAGCAAUGUACUAUUUAUACCAUUAUAACUUCCAACUUUUAUCUUAGCAAAGCCCUUUACUUUAAAAAAUAUAUCAUUUUUUUCUUUAUUAAGGCAUUUUGUUUGGAAAUAUCAACCAAGUAUAGCAUUGUACUUUCAUUUAUUUAUAAGCACAUUUACCUUUAAAAAAUCAACAAAUUAUAGCAUUGCAGUUUUCAGUUUUGUUUGGGUCUCAACAUUGUAACUUUCAAGUAUUCUUCUUAUCAAGGCAUUUCCCUUUGAAAAUCAACCAAAUUAUAGCAUUGUGCUUUUUCUGUUUUCUCUAACUUACAACUUUUUAAUUUUCAAUUUUUUCCCAUCUAGGUGUAUUACUUUAAAAACUUUACUAAUUAUAAGCAUUGUACUUUAUGUUUACUUGUCAUAAACACAUUUUCCAAAACAUUUUCCUUUGAAAAAUCAACAUUCAAAGUUUUUCUCAUCAAGGCAUUUUUCGUUGAAAAAUCUACUAUUUAUAGUAAUGUACUUUCAGUUUUCUUAUUGUCAACACAUUUCCCUUUAAAAGAUCAAAUCAUUUAUAGCAUUGCACUUUUUAAAUUUCUUUUUGUUACAACAUUAGUUUCUUCUUCAUAUAAAGGCACUUCACCUUCAAAAUUCAUUUUUUUUAAAGUAUUAAGGCUUUCUGGUUUUUUUUGUCCGCAUCGUAAAGUUCAAUUUUUUUUUUUUUUUUUUUUAAAAUGGCUUUUUCCCUUUGAACAAUCAACCGAAAUAAGCAUUGUAUUUUUCAGUUUUCUUUCUGUUGCAACAUUAUAACUUUGUAAUUUUUUCUUAUUAUGAGAUGUUACUUUGAAAAAUCAACCCAUUUAUAGCAUUGCACUUUUUGUUUUUCAUUAUGUUAUAGCAUUUUAACUCUCAUGUUUUCUUAAUAAAUCAUUUUAGCUUAAAAUAAUCUGUCACUUAUGGUAUUGUACUUUCAGUUGUUUAAAAAUCAACCCACUUAUAACUUUUCAAUUUUCAGUUUUAUUUGUGUUGCAACAUUGCAACUUUAGUUUAAAAAAUCUAUCAGUUAUUGUACUUUCAGUUUUUUGUUACAAGCACAUUUCCCUAAGAAAAGUUUUCAAUUUUUAGUUUUUUCUUAUCAAGGAAAUUUACUUUGAAAAGAGUAUCAAUUUUUUAUUAUCAAGGCAUUUUGUUUUAAAAAAUUAACCCCUUAAUAGCGUAACACUUUUUAGUUUUCUUUCUGGUACAACAUUAUAAUUUUCAAAUUUUGCUUUGUCAAAUCAUUUUAUUUUGAAAUAUUUAUCAAAUCUUUUUUUUCAAGGCAUUUUAUUUUUGAAAAUCAUCAUUUUCUUUUUCGUUUUUAUGGAUUUUAUUUUGAAAAAUCUAUCUGAUUUUUUUUUUAUCAAAGCAUUUCAAUUCAAAAAUCUACCAAUAAUUAUAUCAUUGUAAUUUCAAUUGUUUUAUUAUAUCCAUGUUUCCCCUUUAAAAAUCUACCCAAUUACAGCAUUGAUCUGUUCACAAAAAAAAAAUCUGUUAUGGCAUUGUACUUACAAAAUUUUGUUAUCAAGUCAAUUAAAUCAAUCAAAAUCUUUCAAAUUUUCUUUAAAGAUUCUACCUGUUAUAGCAUUUUACUUUCAAUUUUCUUUUUAUGAAGCACAUUUCCUUUUGAAAAGCCAACCCAAUUACAGCAUUGCAAUUUUCAUUUUUAUUUGAGUUACAGCAUUUUACUUUGUAAAAUCUAAAUUUAUUUGUUGUCAAGGCAUCUUACCUUUUAAAGUCUACAAAUUAUAGAUUUAUUUCCAGUUUAAUUAUAAGCAGAUUUCCCUUCAAAAAAGCAACCCGAUUAUAGCAUUAGAGCAUUAUACUUUCUGUUUUCUUUUUAUAGACACAUUUCCAUUUGAAAAUCCAUUCCACUUUUAGUUUUCUUUCUAUUACAACAUUGUAACCUUGAAAAAUUUCUUAUCAAGGUACUUCACUUUAGUUUGUGAAAUCUAACAGAUAUAGCCUUCUACUUUCAGUUUUCUUAUCAUAAGCACAUUUUCAACCCAAUUAUAAGCAUUGCACUUGGUUGGAGACAGAUGUUAUGCUUUCUUGUCUCUACACUGAAUUUACUUUCUUGGAAUUUGUUUCUUAUUUUGUAAUGAAGAAUUUCUACCACUCUGUUAAUAACAAUCUUAUGGUGACAAUCGAGCUUUUUGUUGUUGAAGCAAAACCAAAAGAUACCAGUGUAAUGAACUUUUCCCAUUUUUUCAUUUUUUUUUGUUAUGAAUCUUAAUAUUAUCUUGUUUUUUCUUAUAAUUGCUAUAAUAAAAGAAAAUAUACGUUUGUUUACUGAAAUUCAGUUGUUGUCAAACAAUGCUUGGUGGUAAAUUGCAGUUUAUAUGGUUUGUCCAUUCUUAUUCACCCCUUUUAUUUUCAUAUUCAUGUGCAUCCUUUCUAUUUUGUAGCCCUCUGUAUUAUUUUUGCAGUUUUUGGUAUUAUUUGAUGUUUUGUGUCUUUAUUUUUGCACUUAGUGAUAUUUUGAUGUGGCUGUUUUGCUCAUAAAUGUUUUCUGUAAUAUCUCUUUUCUAUGAUAAUAUGAGCUUUUGGAGCUAAUGUCAGGACCCCAUUUUUAAAUCAACUCGAUUAUUGUCCUGAUUUCUCUUGUAGACUAAUUCAUUAAGAAACUAACAUGGUCUUAAUAUAAUUUUUUAAGUGGAAUACCCGAGACAUACAUUACAUGUAUAUUGCAUUUGAGCUUGUUUGUAAUUUUUUUAUUCACCCUCCCUAUCAUUUUGACAUCUAAUCUAGAUUAAUAAUAACCUGAAUAAUUUACAUAUUUGGUCCCUAUGCUAUAACAUUUGUACAGUGAUUAUUAAAAAAGUCGUUGAGAUAUGUCUUGUGCUCUAACAACUCAUUAGAAUGUCCCAUAUUAUAACAGUAAUAAUUUACGAUAACCUUUUGAACGAGUAAUCUUUUGUUUAUGUUAAUUUUGUUGGUUGAAUUUUUUUCUACUUUGUUUUAGGAUUAGAAACAUAGAGACAUGUGUCACCUAUUUUAAUUUUCUUGGUUAAAUUUUUGUGUGAUUUCACAUUUCUUUGCUGUGUCUCUGGAGAGCCCAAACAUGGAAAUUCCUUUCACAGUAUUUCUUUUUUUACUGCUAAGCUUGUGAAUGCAGAGUAUUAUCUGAUCAUGUAUUGUUGUUGCAGCAUAAUGAACUUUUUCCUUUCUUAACCUUCUUGUUAUGAAUCUUAAUAUCAUCUCACCUUUAAUUUUGUACAGUUGCAUGGAAUUUGAUAUGGAAAAUGAACCUGGAUUUGAAAGAAACAUGGAUUUAUAGCAUUGCAUUUUAAGUUUGUGAUUAUUGCAAUUCGUUAGAUUUCUUCUUUCACUUUGUUGAUGUGCUUUAACUACUAGCUUUCAGUUAAAUAAUUAUGAGUAUCAUAAUCAUAAUCAUUUAACUCUCUGUUCUCUUUUAUGGUUUUUAUUCAAUGUUUUUAUACAGCGGCUUCUUAAAUCUUAGUAUUUUCAUACAUAAUGAGCAAUCUUAAUCUUUUGACAUUUCUAUAUUUGAAUACCAUAUUACUAAACUUUUGAUAUGAAUUUUAAGGUCAUCUCAUCUUUUCUUCAGAAAUAUUGUUACAGUUAUGUUUACUUGGCGCCAAUGUGUACUCUAUGUCCAGGUUAUUUGCAAUCCUUUUUUCGAUGGAGUUUUAUGGUGAUUUAGCUUAUUUCCAAUCUUAAGAUCAUCUCUGCUUUUUCCAAUGGUUGCUAUGAUGAGUAGUUCUCAUCAACUCCUUAUUCAGACACUGGAUUCAUAGCAGUGUAGAUUUGGAUAUUAACCUUUUGAUUUUGAAUCCAUAGAUUCAGUUCUUCAACCCAUGUUUCUUUGGUGGAUUUUUUCCAAGGGUGAAUGACAUAGGUAGGUAGGUUCUUUAUAUAAUGCUUUCCUAUUUGAAAAUUAGGGUCUUAAUUUGGGUUUUUUGUUUUUCAUUAUAUAUGGUCUUCAUUUUGUACAGAGAUGAUCUUAGAAUCUUUUGGUUUUAUUUACUUGUAAUUUUUCUGAUAGUCAUGCUCUUUAUUCUUGUUAAGCUCAUUCUUCGAGAUGCUUGGUCAAUCAUUUAGAACAAAGAUGAUACUUAAGGUUUUCCCUGUUUACAUCUUUUAGCAGAAAAAAAAAGUUUAUUUUUUUUUCGCGUUUAAAAUAAUGAAAAAGCUGCAACUAUGUUUAAGAUUGGAGGAGCGAGUGACACUAAAAAGAAAUCUUUUUCAUGCAUCUCAUCUCUUUCUACAUUUGAUAUGGUGGCACAAAAUGUAAUUAUAUUUACACAGAUUCACCUGUCUUCAUAUUCCUUAGUAUCUACCAUUAUGUACUUAUAAUCCAUAUGUUAUUUAACCUUUUAAUUAUGAAUCCUAAGAUUAUCUUAACUUUUUCCCCAUUUUUUUUAGUUUGGAACAAAAGAGAAGCAGCAGUAACGUUUGCUUGAUUGUUGUUACAACAAUUGUAAUUUGUUCUUUUUGCUGAUCAUUUUUCUUUUUUGAUGACCUUUAUAUAAUAUUUAAAUAUUUAAAUAUCAUAAAUAAUAUAUAAGAGUUUUAGUUUUGAAGAUGUGUGCAGGGGAGGGGAAACAUUGAGCCUUAUAAUCAGUUGUCAAAGCGACCUGCUGAUCUUCUUCAAUCAUAAAUUAGGUCAUUAUACUUUUUUCUCCUCAUCAAGGCAUUUUUCUUUAUCAAGACAAUUUACUUUGAAAAAAUCCACCAAUUAUAAGAUUGUUUUUUCAGUUUUCUUAUUAUAAGUAGUGCACUUUUUUUUUGAAAAAGCAACCCAAAUAAUAGCCUUGCAUUUUUCAGUUUUAUUUUUGUUACAGCAUUGUAACUUCCUUUUUUUUUGAAAAAUGUUAAAUCUACCAAUUAUAGCAUUUGCACUUUCUGUUUUCUUCUUAAAAAGCACAUUUUCCUUUUUUUUAAAAAAUCAACCCAAUUAUAGCAUUGCACUUUUCAUCUUUACUUUUGUACAACGUCAUGACUUUGAAAUUGUUUCUUAUCAAGACAUUUUAGUUCAAGGCAUCUAUGACUACUGAUAGUGUAAUGAACUUCCACCAUUCUGUACUUGUAAAAUAUAGAUUAUGAAUCUUGAUUUCUUCUGAUCAUUUUUCUGUUGUUGUAUGUUUGUUUACUCAUAUUCAAUUCUUGUUGACUCUUGCAUUGUGGUAUCCUAUCUAUUCCCUUAUUCUUUUUAUGACAUCAUCAUGGUUUUUCAUCUCUCUGUUGGGGUCUUAUUAUUUCUUCUUUGAUUGUAAUUUACCAGAGGAAAGGAUUUUAGUUUUUUCCUAUUUUUAAAAUUGGGUUCUUUGCUGUUCUUUGAUUAUCAGUUUCUUGUUUUCCAUAUAUUAUUUCAGAACUGAUAUAUUUAUUUUAUUUUUUUUUUUAAAAUCUUUUGGUUUUAUUCAUUUGUGAUGUGGUAGCCGAUUGAUCUUGUUCUUGAUUCUUCUUAAGAUCAUUGCUCGAGUUCUUUCGUGUACUAAUUUUUUAAGACAUAUUCGUCUUUUGUUUUUUUCGUUUUGCUCCUCUCACGUUAAAAUUGAUAAAUACUGUUACAAUGUAGAAUUUAUUUGGAAAUUGUGGGUAAAAUGGUCAUUUUAGUCUCAUUCAGACGGUUAUUCAGUUAAAAAAACAUCCCCAAAUAAUUAUAUCCAUAAAUUCAUCCCCUUUAGAAAUUCCAUGAGUUGUGAAGUUUCUUUGUUUCUAUACAGUCUUGAACAAUACAAUCUUUCUUUUGAUGGAAUUCACAAACAUGUUGAACCUUUCUAUUAUGAAUCUUAAGAUUGUCCAUGCUUUUUUCCUAUAGUUGAUAUGAUGACUAAAUGACUAAAUGCAUGUAUAUUUAUUCAGAGACUCGAUUCAUAGCAGUGUAUAGAUUAUUAUCCUUUUCCAUUAUGAAUCUUAAGAUCAUCUCAUUACAGUUUCUAUGGUGCAACAAAUGCAUGUAUGCAUCCAAAGAUUCAGUUCUUGUCAAAUUGUGUAUGAGAUGCUUGGGGAAAAUACACAAACAUUAUGUUUACUGAAAGUAAUGCUUGGUGAUAAAUUGCAGCUUAUCUGUCCCAUAUUAAUAAUAUGCGUCUUUAACCCAUGUCUGUGUUUUUCAUCUGGAAAUUGUCUUCUUGAUUCUUCUUUAAUGGUUUUUUUCAAAGGGUAUUUGAUUUAGGAAUGGCAGAGGUUUUUGAGUUUCUUGAUUUUCAUCACAUUCUUCAUUGUAUACAAAGAUAUUCUUGGAAUCUGUAGACUAAUUCAUUAAGAAUAUGCUAUGGUUUUAAUUUAUUUUAUUAUGUUGCAUGAAUGGUUUGAUGUAUUUUCUUUUGGGGUUACAAAUAAACAAUAUUGGUGCCACUUAUAUAAUAAGCUUAAAGGUUUCUUUUUUACAUAAUGAGCUUAAUCUGGAUAACUAUAUAUGACUGUUUCUUUUUUAGCUUAAUCUGUAUAGAACGACUUGAACGGGUAAAGCCGAAAAACCUGACUUAAUGUAUUAAGACACUUUACGUAUUUUUUUGGGAAAUACUGUUAACAUGUUGAAUAUGUAUUAGUUUUUUGGAAAUUGAGGGUAAAAUGGUCAUUUAGUCUCAUUAAGACGGUUUAUUCAUUCUAAAAAAGAAACACGCUUUAUGUAUACAGUUGCUUGGUGGUAAAUUGCAGUUUGUCUGGUUUGUCCAUUCUUAUUUUUAACCCCUUUUAUACAUAUUCAUGUGCAUCCUUUCUAUUUUAUCUGCAUUUUUUUUAUUCUAUAUAAUAUUUACUUGUGUGUUUUAGUCAAUGGCCAACUGGAUGAUCUAAUUAAUUAUCAUGGUUUUUGAUAUAUGUAAUGUGGUCAGGAACUUCUGUUUUUCCACCGAAUUUGUUUUCUUUUUGUUAGUCUAUUAUUGUAUUCAAGCAGUUCAACUCUGUUGAUAACAAUCUUUUGGUGACAAUGGAGCUUUUUUAGGUUGUUUAAUUGUUGUUGAACCAAAACCAAAAGAUAAACUUUGUCCUUUAUUAACUUUUUUUUUGUUAUGAAUCUUAAUAACAUCUAAUUUAUUAAUACAGUUGCUAUAGUGGAGGAAAGCAGACAGAUGUUUACUGAAAUUCAGUUGUUGUCAUCUGAUGCUUGGUGGUAAAUUGCAGUUUAUCUGGUUUGUCCAUUCUUAUUCACCCCUUUUAUUUUCAUAUUCAUGUGUAUCCUUUCUACUUUAAAGCUUUUACAUCUAUAUGUAAAAUUAAUCUUUUUUAAAUGGCUUUUACUUUCAUAUGAUGUUUGCUCAAUAGGGAUGUUCAGUUAUCUUCAUAUUUCUCUAUUUCUUGUGUAGAUUAAUUCAUUAAGAAAUUAAUUGAUAUGGUGCAACUUUUAGGUUUUAAUCUGUUAUGUUUUGUUGCAUUAAGAAAUUGAUAUUUUUGUUUGUGGGUUACAGAUUAACGAUAAUCAAUGUCACUCAUAUCAGUUUUAGGGGUUGUUUCUUUUUGACUUCAUAAGCUUAAUGGGUUAAGCACUUAAUUACUGGACACCUNNNNNNNNNNNNNNNNUAUAUAUGUUUUUAUCCUUUUAACCUAAUUUGAACAUAAGACUUAACGGGUUAAGUUGAAAAGCCUGACUUAAUGUAUUAAGACACUAGCACUUUAACUAUUUGUCUUUCUUUUCUUAUUUCAGCCCAUCUCACGUUAAAAUGUUGUUAAAAUGAUGAACAGAAAUGAAUUGUUUUGAAAGUAAGGAUAAAAAGGUGUUAUCUAGUCUCAAUUUAAAGGAUUAUUCAGUCCAAAAAAACAGCUCAUCUGUUUCCAUAGUUGAUAUGGUGGCACAAAAUGUACUUAUUAUAUUCAUACAGAAAUUCAUAUUCCUUGGCAUCUACCAUUUUGUACUUAUAAUCCAUAUAUUAUUCAACCCUUUGAUUAUGAAUCCAAAGAUUAUCUCAACUUUUCCCCAUUUUUUUUAGCUUGGAAUAUAAGAGUAGCGAGGAUGUUUUCUUGAUCAUGGUUGCAUCAACUGUAAAUUGUUCUUUUUGUUUUUUUUUUGAUGAGCUUUAUAAGGAUGUUAAAGCUUCUAGCUUAGUUAGUGGGGGAAAAUGUAUACCUUGGGUUUCUAAAUUUGAAAAAGAGUAUUAUCAAAUGAAGUUGACGCCUGCAAUAUAAGCAUUACUACUGAAUAAUAUUUAAAUAAAUCAUAAAUAAUAUACAAGAGCUUUGAUUAUGAAGAAUAUGUGUGCAGAAGAGGGGAAACUUUGAGCUUCAUAAUCAAAGUUCUUCUUUCCGUCCACGUACUUGAAGGUUUGUUGCAUCAAAUGUUGAUCUCUUUCAAAUCGCAAAUUGGGUGAUGAUUAUCAUUAUUUCAAGUUUUUGAUUGUUAAAAUUGCUAUUAAGUGUUUCCUGCGUAAUCUUUGUUUGGUCUACCACCUGUUCGAUGAAAUGCUUCAAAAAAUAUACUUUUCGGUUUAUCUACUGAAAAGGAACAACCAACACCAUGCUUGGAUUUCAUAUUCCAAGAUGAAUCACUUCUGUUUAGGGGGUGUUUGGAUUGGGUUUUGAAGUAGAUUAUGUGAAGAAGAUUUGGAAUAAUCAUAUAAUUAGAUGAUCAUUUUUAACAAAAACUGCAGAAAUUAGUGCUUACAAGUGAUUAUGUCAUGUUUAUUACCAUGAUAUAAAUACUUGGUCUUGUUUAUUUCUAAUGGCAUCCUACAAUUAUAUAUUAGAUCAUUGUUGCUAUUAAUUACAUGUCACCAAUGGAAGAAAAUCAGGUAACAUACGUUUGAACUUGUUGUAUAAUUAGAAGGGUUAAAUGCAAGAAACAACAACAUAUUUUUCUUAAAUAUGCUUAUUAAUUGUUAUAGCAUCAUACUUUCAUUUCUUUCUAUUAUAUUUAAGAUAUUAAAGAUGAUUCUUUAUUACUUCGAGUGAUUUUUAAACUAUACAACUGUUUUUUAUAGCUAAAUUUCUCAACAUGGAUAUUUGUAGUUAAAUCAAGUUGUGAAUGCAAGAAAUAGCAACAUACUUUCAUUGGCUUGUUUAUUAUAUCAUCAUACCUUUAUGUCUUUCUAUUACUAAGCUUUAAUAUGAUCUUGCUUAAGCCAUUCAUUCCAGUUCUUUUUACUUGAUCCUUUUAUUCUGGUUUCCUUAAGUUAACUUUGUUUUCCCUUCUUAUUCAGCCUCUCUAUCUUCUAGUUACUAGUUUUCAGCUGGAUGGUUAAAUCAUGACCUUGUUUGAGUAGUUAGGUUUAGAAGAAAAAAAAAUCUUCCUUUUUAUGUUUUUGUAGAUGACCUAUGUAGUAAUAUAUUCAUGUUUUUUUUAUAACCACCCUAUUUUCCAAUUGUUGUUUUUUUCACACAUGAGCAAUGUAGAUGACCUAUGUAGUAAUAUAUUCAUGUCUUUGUUUUUAAUUUUUUUUAUCAAG
rnacentral:lncRNA from 1 species